CGGANCGUNCGGAUUUUGGGUUUAAGGGUGCGUAGGUGGAUUAAUAAGUCAGCGGUGAAAUCUCGGAGCUUAACUCUGAAACUGCCGUUGAAACUGUUGAUCUUGAGUGUGAACGAGGUAGGCGGAAUUCGUAGUGUAGCGGUGAAAUGCAUAGAUAUUACGAAGAACUCCAAUAGCGCAGGCAGCUUACCAGGCCACAACUGACACUGAAGCACGAAAGUGUGGGUAUCAAACAGGAUUAGAUACCCUGGUAGUCCACACAGUAAACGAUGAUUACUCGCUGUUUGCGAUACACAGUAAGCGGCCAAGCGAAAGCGUUAAGUAAUCCACCUGGGGAGUACGCCGGCAACGGUGAAACUCAAAGGAAUUGACGGGGGCCCGCACAAGCGGAGGAACAUGUGGUUUAAUUCGAUGAUACGCGAGGAACCUUACCCGGGCUCGAACGGCUAAUGAAUGAGUGUGAAAGCAUUCCGCUGUCAAAAGCAUUAGUCGAGGUGCUGCAUGGUUGUCGUCAGCUCGUGCCGUGAGGUGUCGGCUUAAGUGCCAUAACGAGCGCAACCCUUAUCGUUAGUUACCAUCAGGUUAUGCUGGGGACUCUAGCGAGACUGCCACCGUAAGGUGUGAGGAAGGUGGGGAUGACGUCAAAUCAGCACGGCCCUUACGUCCGGGGCUACACACGUGUUACAAUGGGUGGGACAGAAGGCAGCUACCUGGCAACAGGAUGCAAAUCCAUCAAACCCACUCCCAGUUCGGAUCGAAGUCUGCAACCCGACUUCGUGAAGCUGGAUUCGCUAGUAAUCGCGCAUCAGCCAUGGCGCGGUGAAUAC
rnacentral:rRNA from 1 species